rnacentral:rRNA from 1 species
AGAUUGAACGCUGGCGGCAGGCCUAACACAUGCAAGUCGAGCGGCAGCACGGGUACUUGUACCUGGUGGCGAGCGGCGGACGGGUGAGUAAUGCCUAGGAAUCUGCCUGGUAGUGGGGGAUAACGCUCGGAAACGGACGCUAAUACCGCAUACGUCCUACGGGAGAAAGCAGGGGACCUUCGGGCCUUGCGCUAUCAGAUGAGCCUAGGUCGGAUUAGCUAGUUGGUGAGGUAAUGGCUCACCAAGGCGACGAUCCGUAGCUGGUCUGAGAGGAUGAUCAGUCACACUGGAACUGAGACACGGUCCAGACUCCUACGGGAGGCAGCGAGUGGGGAAUAGUUGGACAAUGGGCGAAAGCCUGAUCCAGCCAU